UACGUAGGGUGCAAGCGUUGUCCGGAAUUAUUGGGCGUAAAGAGCUCGUAGGCGGUUUGUCGCGUCUGCUGUGAAAACUCGGGGCUUAACUCCGGGCCUGCAGUGGGUACGGACAGACUAGAGUGCGGUAGGGGGAGACUGGAAUUCCUGGUGUAGCGGUGAAAUGCGCAGAUAUCAGGAGGAACACCGGUGGCGAAGGCGGGUCUCUGGACAGUUCCUGACGCUGAGGCACGAAGGUCAGGGGAGCAAACGGG
rnacentral:rRNA from 1 species